rnacentral:tRNA from 1 species
GGACGUGGCUCAAGUGGUAGCUCGCUCGUCUGGCAUGCGUGCGGCCUGGGUUCAAUCCCCAGCACCA